UACGAAGGGGGCUAGCGUUGUUCGGAAUCACUGGGCGUAAAGCGCACGCAGGCGGAUUGAUAAGUCAGGGGUGAAAUCCCAGAGCUCAACUCUGGAACUGCCUUUGAUACUGGCAAGCUCGAGUCCGGAAGAGGUAAGUGGAACUCCUAGUGUAGAGGUGGAAUUCGUAGAUAUUGGGAAGAACACCCGUGGCGAAGGCGGCCAUCUGGACCGGUACUGACGCUAAGGCGCGACAGCGUGGGGAGCAAACAGG
rnacentral:rRNA from 1 species